UCGAGUUACCGCUCUACAACCCUUUGUGAACAUACCUAACUGUUGCUUCGGCGGGCAGGGGGUCCCACCGGGGACGCCCCUCCCGGCCCCGCCCCCCUACCAGGGGACGUGGCGCCCGCCGGAGGAUACCCAACUCUAUUUUAACGACGUUUCUCUGAGUGGCACAAGCAAAUAAUUA
rnacentral:misc_RNA from 1 species